UUGAAGUUACCAAACGAUGAAAUUUCGGUAAGAUCUCACCGGAGAAGAUGACCGGAGUAUUUCUCAGGUGGUCUAAGUUUGGAUCAGACACGUUGGCAUUUUGAAAUGUUUUGAUUGGUUAAAUUCAAAUUGGAUCUUGUGUUCUGAUUACAGCGUGUUCCAUCGUGUUUCUCAUCAUUUAGAGUGUUGGAUCUGCCACGUCAAUUAAUGAGGUGUGAUCCAAUGCUCCUGGUUUUUU
rnacentral:lncRNA from 1 species